rnacentral:rRNA from 1 species
UAGGGAAUCUUCCGCAAUGGACGCAAGUCUGACGGAGCAACGCCGCGUGAGUGAAGAAGGAUUUCGGUUCGUAAAACUCUGUUGUUAGAGAAGAACAGCGCAUAGAGUAACUGUUAUGCGUGUGACGGUAUCUAACCAGAAAGCCACGGCUAACUACGUGCCAGCAGCCGCGGUAAUACGUAGGUGGCAAGCGUUGUCCGGAUUUAUUGGGCGUAAAGCGAGCGCAGGCGGUCAAUUAAGUCUGAUGUGAAAGCCCCCGGCUCAACCGGGGAGGGUCAUUGGAAACUGGUUGACUUGAGGGCAGAAGAGGAGAGUGGAAUUCCAUGUGUAGCGGUGAAAUGCGUAGAUAUAUGGAGGAACCCCAGUGGCGAAGGCGACUCUCUGGUCUGUAACUGACGCUGAGGCUCGAAAGCGUGGGUAGCAAACAGG